AUGCGUCGCCGGCGCCUCUACCCCGCACGCAGCACCUCCGCCUCUUCCUCUCGCGUCGUCGCCGCCUUUCCAUGUUGCCAUACGCCGUCGCCUCUCCCUUUUCAAGAUUUAAUAUUUACUCCGGCGGCUGGAUCUAAAGCGCAGCUGCUCCACCUUCCUCAGGGUGGCGGGGAUCUCCGGCGGCUGGAUCUGAAGCGCGGCUGCUCCACCUUCCUCAGGGUGGCGGGGAUCUCCGGCUUGCUGCGCAGGGGGAGGGAACGACCGCCGGCAGCCGCUGCGGGCAGAAGGGGAACUGCGUAG
rnacentral:rRNA from 1 species